rnacentral:rRNA from 1 species
UUCCAAGCUUCGCGGCCUAUCAGCUUGUUGGCGGGGUAAUGGCCCACCAAGGCUCUGACGGGUAGCUGGUCUGAGAGGAUGGCCAGCCACAUUGGGACUGAGAUACGGCCCAGACUCCUACGGGAGGCAGCAGUGGGGAAUCUUGCGCAAUGGCCGAAAGGCUGACGCAGCGACGCCGCGUGUGGGAGGACGCCCUUCGGGGUGCAAACCACUGUUGCCCGGGACGAACAUCCCCUUUCGAGGGGACUGACGGUACCGGGUGAGGAAGCACCGGCUAACUCCGUGCCAGCAGCCGCGGUAAUACGGAGGGUGCGAGCGUUGUCCGGAAUCACUGGGCGUAAAGGGCGCGUAGGCGGCGCGGGAAGUCAUCGGUGAAAGUUCAGGGCUCAACUCUGAAUCGGCCGGUGAUACUCUCGUGCUUGAGCACUGUAGAGGCAGGUGGAAUUCCGGGUGUAGCGGUGGAAUGCGUAGAGAUCCGGAAGAACACCGGUGGCGAAGGCGGCCUGCUGGGCAGUANCUGACGCUGAUGCGCGACAGCGUGGGGAGCAAACAGGAUUANAUACCCUGGUANUCCACGCCGUAAACNAUGGGCACUANGUGCUUGGGGGAGCGACCCCCUGA